CUUACAAAACGAGCUCUAAAUAUCUCUGCUCAUCAAUCACUUUUGUCUGCAUUUGAAACUCUGCUUUCGGUUCUCUCUCUCGAACCCUAAGUUCAGUUGCCAUAGAAAUUUAGCAUCCCUCUGUUCCACCCCAACUCUGUUCCUACGACCACUAGAUAUCGUGCCUCCUAGCCGUUCUUGAAACUUUACUUUCCUCUAAGUUUUUCCACUCAACAGACUUCCGAUCCCACGCAAACCCAUUACACUGGUCGUCCGAUUAACUUCAAUAACACCCCCGUCAGCUUUUUCCUAUUGUUCAGACCUAUCUCAAGCAGGUUUGUUUUAUCAGUUUCUUGAACCCGUUCUUUGUGAUUUCAGUUUCUUGAACCUGUUCUUUGUGAUUUCUUGGGAAAAAAUCGGUAGUUACGUGUUAAGAAUUGAAUUUUAUUUACCAUUUUUAACACCUUUUCAACUUAAAUUAUUGGAAUAUCAUGAUGUCCAUGUCUUUUACUUGAAUUGAUUUCUUUAAUUUGGGAGAACACUACUAGAGAUACAGCAGAUGCGGAGUCAGUUCUGCUGCUCAUUCUUUAAUUGAUUUGAUAACUAACUCUAACAGGUACUUCCUUCCAUGAAUCCACGAGCAAUUCAAAAGCAUUUUAGAGGAUGAAGAGAAGAAGAAGAGAAAGUAUAUUAGGGCCUUGUUUGAGCCCUAUUUUGGGGGGAGAAAAUGAAUUUUUGAACAGUGUAUUGAUGGAAAAUGUGUGGUUAAAAAAUAAGUCAAAAUUUUGAAUUUACGUGUAAUAUUAUUUUAUUGAAAAAUGUGUGGUUGAAAUGAUAUCAAUACACUGUUUAAGAAUGUAUUCUUUUGGAGAAAAUGGGGCUCAAACAAGGGCUAGAUUUCUAUAGCCAAAUAAUUGGGUUUUAGAUCAUAAGUUUGUUGAUUUCAUGUUUUUCAUGGUAAUAUAUUUGCAUCUUGCACCAUUUGAUGAUGUUACUCAAGCAUUUUCGAGGGAAAGGUAUGAUUAUCAACAGAGAAACCUGGUUUAUUCGGAGUUCAGAUUACUUGCAAAUUAUGUAAUUUGACCAAUAACAUCCAUUUCGUCGCAGAUUCAAAGGUUUUUUUGUUUAGUAGAAUAUCU
rnacentral:lncRNA from 1 species